UGAGGAAUAUUGGUCAAUGGAGGCAACUCUGAACCAGCCAUGCCGCGUGCAGGAAGACUGCCCUAUGGGUUGUAAACUGCUUUUAUACAGGAAGAAACGACACUACGUGUAGUGUUUUGACGGUACUGUAAGAAUAAGGACCGGCUAACUCCGUGCCAGCAGCCGCGGUAAAUACGGAGGGUCCAAGCGUUAUCCGGAAUCAUUGGGUUUAAAGGGUCCGCAGGCGGGCAAUUAAGUCAGAGGUGAAAUCCUAUAGCUCAACUAUAGAACUGCCUUUGAUACUGGUUGUCUUGAGUUACUUGGAAGUAGAUGGAAUAUGUGGUGUAGCGGUGAAAUGCAUAGAUAUCACA
rnacentral:rRNA from 1 species